GGCUGUGUGGUCAGUGGUUAAAAAAAGGGCUUGUAACCAGGAGGUCCCGGUUCAAAUCCCACCUCAGCCA